GACGAACGCUGGCGGCGUGCUUAACACAUGCAAGUCGAACGGAAAGGCCCUGCUUUUGUGGGGUGCUCGAGUGGCGAACGGGUGAGUAACACGUGAGUAACCUGCCCUUGACUUUGGGAUAACUUCAGGAAACUGGGGCUAAUACCGGAUAGGAGCUCCUGCUGCAUGGUGGGGGUUGGAAAGUUUCGGCGGUUGGGGAUGGACUCGCGGCUUAUCAGCUUGUUGGUGGGGUAGUGGCUUACCAAGGCUUUGACGGGUAGCCGGCCUGAGAGGGUGACCGGCCACAUUGGAACUGAGAUACGGCCCAGACUCCUACGGGAGGCAGCAGUGGGGAAUAUUGCACAAUGGGCGGAAGCAUGAUGCAGCAACGCCGCGUGCGGGAUGACGGCAUUCGGGUUGUAAACCGCUUUCGCCUGGGACGAAGCGUGAGUGACGGUAAUGGGUAAAGAAGCACCGGCUAACUACGUG
rnacentral:rRNA from 1 species